rnacentral:rRNA from 1 species
UGGGGAAUAUUGCACAAUGGGCGCAAGCCUGAUGCAGCCAUGCCGCGUGUAUGAAGAAGGCCUUCGGGUUGUAAAGUACUUUCAGCGGGGAGGAAGGGAGUAAAGUUAAUACCUUUGCUCAUUGACGUUACCCGCAGAAGAAGCACCGGCUAACUCCGUGCCAGCAGCCGCGGUAAUACGGAGGGUGCAAGCGUUAAUCGGAAUUACUGGGCGUAAAGCGCACGCAGGCGGUUUGUUAAGUCAGAUGUGAAAUCCCCGGGCUCAACCUGGGAACUGCAUCUGAUACUGGCAAGCUUGAGUCUCGUAGAGGGGGGUAGAAUUCCAGGUGUAGCGGUGAAAUGCGUAGAGAUCUGGAGGAAUACCGGUGGCGAAGGCGGCCCACUGGACGAAGACUGACGCUCAGGUGCGAAAGAGUGGGGAGCAAACAGG